rnacentral:rRNA from 1 species
UACGUAGGUGGCAAGCGUUGUUCGGAAUUAUUGGGCGUAAAGGGCGCGUAGGCGGUCGUGCGCGUCGGAGGUGAAAUCCCCGGGCUUAACCCGGGAGCUGCCUCCGAUACGGCAUGGCUUGAGUCCGGGAGAGGGGAGCAGAAUUCCCAGUGUAGCGGUGAAAUGCGUAGAUAUUGGGAGGAAUACCAGUGGCGAAGGCGGCUCCCUGGACCGGUACUGACGCUGAGGCGCGAAAGCGUGGGUAGCAAACAGG